rnacentral:lncRNA from 1 species
CUGCAGUGUUAUGAGGCAACAAUGGGGACAGGCUCACAAAGAAGGACUGAGGCCUGCCAACCACCACACAUGUGAGCUCCAGGAUGGACUUGUCCUAGCUAGCCCCUGCCCCCACCCGGAAUGUGACUGGCUGCUCAUGAAAGAUGUAAUGCCAGAUGUACUGACCUAAACCAUGUCUUUGCGAUAACAGAAACAGUGAGAUAAUGCCUUUUGUCUGCUUUAAGCUACUAAAUUUUUGGCAAUUUGUUAAGCAAGAACAGAUUGAUAUAAAAAAGAUUAGAACUGAAACUAACACGGAAAUGAAAGAUGAAUGAAGAGAGAAGAAAAGGCACAGUUCUGUUUUUUUCUUCACAAGAAUCAAGCUUGAUCUUGGAAAUAAAAAGUGAAAUAUGAAAUAAGCAGUGCUCAAGUAAAGAUAUAAAAAGAAAAUAUAACAGAGAAAGAAAUCAAGCAUGGGAGACCCCCCCCACCGCCAACUCACUAGUGCUUGGGAUUUAGCUCAGUGGUUCUACCAUCUGCCUUGGAAGCACAAGGUCCCGGAGUUUGAUCCCCAGUGCCCAAAAACAAAAACAAAAACCUCACUAGUUGUUGAAAUAGCUUAAGGAUUCAUGGAGACAGAUAACCAUUUUCAGAACACAGGAGGAAUGAGGACAGAAUUUGAGAAGAGAAACCAGGUUACUCUCACUGAGUUGUCACUGGUCCCUGUUUUCAAACUUUCUGUGGCUUUGAAGCCCACAAAACAAAAACUGAGAGGGUGCCAAAAAGAGAAGAAAACGGUGCCUGUGCCCAGAUUCCAGUGUUGGAUUUUGGCAGGCAUAAGAAGAGAGAAUACCAUGCAUGAUCAAGCACAGUGACCUCAUCCCUGCGCAGAAGAGACACCAGCUGCAGGGAGGGUCUGCCUCCACCAAAUGGGAUCAUUAUCAUCAUUGCUAAUGCCAAGAAGCCCAGACAGCCUUGCACAUGUGCAAUGUGUUACAGCUCUGUGGUCUCCCUACAUUCACAAUAAAGCUGCUGUCUGGAAAAGUAAGGGCUUUGCCUUCCUAAAAAUAUUAUUAAAAAAGAACAUUUAGAUAUGUUUUAACAAAUCAAUUAGUCACUGCAGUAGCAAAGAGAACUUGCCAAGAGAAUGAACCUGGUGGUAGCCUCAUAAGUGAUUCAGGUCCAAUUGCUCCAUUUAAGGAAAACAAAGAACACUGAUUUUUCCC